UACGUAGGCAGCAAGCGUUGUUCGGAAUUACUGGGCGUAAAGAGUGUGUAGGCGGUGCUCUAAGUUUGGUGUGAAAUCUCCCGGCUCAACCGGGAGGCUGCAUCGAAUACUGGAAUGCUAGAGGGUGGGAGAGGUAAGCGGAAUUCCUGGUGUAGCGGUGAAAUGCGCAGAUAUCAGGAGGAACACCAGCGGCGAAGGCGGCGCUCUGGGCCGGAAGCUGACGCUGAGGAGCGAAAGCGUGGGUAGCAAACAGG
rnacentral:rRNA from 1 species